AGAGUUUGAUCAUGGCUCAGAUUGAACGCUGGCGGCAGGCCUAACACAUGCAAGUCGAGCGGUAGCACAGAGAGCUUGCUCUCGGGUGACGAGCGGCGGACGGGUGAGUAAUGUCUGGGAAACUGCCUGAUGGAGGGGGAUAACUACUGGAAACGGUAGCUAAUACCGCAUAAUGUCGCAAGACCAAAGUGGGGGACCUUCGGGCCUCAUGCCAUCAGAUGUGCCCAGAUGGGAUUAGCUAGUAGGUGGGGUAACGGCUCACCUAGGCGACGAUCCCUAGCUGGUCUGAGAGGAUGACCAGCCACACUGGAACUGAGACACGGUCCAGACUCCUACGGGAGGCAGCAGUGGGGAAUAUUGCACAAUGGGCGCAAGCCUGAUGCAGCCAUGCCGCGUGUAUGAAGAAGGCCUUCGGGUUGUAAAGUACUUUCAGCGGGGAGGAAGGCGAUAAGGUUAAUAACCUUGUCGAUUGACGUUACCCGCAGAAGAAGCACCGGCUAACUCCGUGCCAGCAGCCGCGGUAAUACGGAGGGUGCAAGCGUUAAUCGGAAUUACUGGGCGUAAAGCGCACGCAGGCGGUCUGUCAAGUCGGAUGUGAAAUCCCCGGGCUCAACCUGGGAACUGCAUUCGAAACUGGCAGGCUAGAGUCUUGUAGAGGGGGGUAGAAUUCCAGGUGUAGCGGUGAAAUGCGUAGAGAUCUGGAGGAAUACCGGUGGCGAAGGCGGCCCCCUGGACAAAGACUGACGCUCAGGUGCGAAAGCGUGGGGAGCAAACAGGAUUAGAUACCCUGGUAGUCCACGCCGUAAACGAUGUCGAUUUGGAGGUUGUGCCCUUGAGGCGUGGCUUCCGGAGCUAACGCGUUAAAUCGACCGCCUGGGGAGUACGGCCGCAAGGUUAAAACUCAAAUGAAUUGACGGGGGCCCGCACAAGCGGUGGAGCAUGUGGUUUAAUUCGAUGCAACGCGAAGAACCUUACCUGGUCUUGACAUCCACAGAACUUAGCAGAGAUGCUUUGGUGCCUUCGGGAACUGUGAGACAGGUGCUGCAUGGCUGUCGUCAGCUCGUGUUGUGAAAUGUUGGGUUAAGUCCCGCAACGAGCGCAACCCUUAUCCUUUGUUGCCAGCGGUCCGGCCGGGAACUCAAAGGAGACUGCCAGUGAUAAACUGGAGGAAGGUGGGGAUGACGUCAAGUCAUCAUGGCCCUUACGACCAGGGCUACACACGUGCUACAAUGGCAUAUACAAAGAGAAGCGACCUCGCGAGAGCAAGCGGACCUCAUAAAGUAUGUCGUAGUCCGGAUUGGAGUCUGCAACUCGACUCCAUGAAGUCGGAAUCGCUAGUAAUCGUAGAUCAGAAUGCUACGGUGAAUACGUUCCCGGGCCUUGUACACACCGCCCGUCACACCAUGGGAGUGGGUUGCAAAAGAAGUAGGUAGCUUAACCUUCGGGAGGGCGCUUACCACUUUGUGAUUCAUGACUGGGGUGAAGUCGUAACAAGGUAACCGUAGGGGAACCUGCGGUUGGAUCACCU
rnacentral:rRNA from 2 species